rfam:Paraliobacillus sp. PM-2 genome assembly, contig: CONTIG000001
ACUCAAUGAUCGCUGAAUAGGUUCGCAACAUCCGUGUUGCAACAUCAGCAUCAGCACAUCCAUGUGCA